GGGUCUCAGUAAAUCUUUUACCGGUAGAAUAAAUACAAAUGGAGGGCUCACAACCACCUCAACAACAUCAUGAGAAGGGACCUCAGCUUCGUUCAAGGUGGUGACAAUUUUCUUCACUUCCGCAGUUGUUCCAUUGCAUUUCCAAUUGCCGCCAACAAAGAAUUUUCUGGCCAUACUUGGGUGAUAAGAUGGAAAAUAGAAACAGGAAGGAUGAAAAUCAGAGCUGAGAUUUUAUACUGAGAUUUUUG
rnacentral:misc_RNA from 1 species